rnacentral:rRNA from 1 species
GAUGAACGCUGGCGGCGUGCUUAACACAUGCAAGUCGAACGGAAAGGCCCAAGCUUGCUUGGGUGCUCGAGUGGCGAACGGGUGAGUAACACGUGGGUGAUCUGCCCUGCACUUUGGGAUCAGCCUGGGAAACUGGGUCUAAUACCGGAUAGGACCAUCGCUUAGUGUCGGUGGUGGAAAGUUUUUCGGUGUGGGUUGAGCUCGCGGCCUAUCAGCUUGUUGGUGGGGUAAUGGCCUACCAAGGCGUCGCCGGGUAGCCGGCCUGGGAGGGUGUACGGCCACAUUGGGACGGAGAUACGGCCCAGACUCCUACGGGAGGCAGCAGUGGGGAGUAUUGCACAGUGGGCGCAAGCCUGAUGCAGCGACGCCGCGUGGGGGAUGACGGGCUUCGGUUUGUAAACUCCUUUCGCCAAGGACGAAGCGUUUUGUGACGGUACUGGGAGAAGAAGCACCGGCUAACUACGUG